CAGCACCUCAAGUGGUCAGGAUGAUUAUUGGGCCUAAAGCAUCCGGAGCCGGCGCUGUAAGUUUUCGGUUAAAUCUGUACGCUCAACGUACAGGCUGCCGGGAAUACUGCAGCGCUAGGGAGUGGGAGAGGUAGACGGUACUCGGUAGGAAGGGGUAAAAUCCUUUGAUCUAUUGAUGACCACCUGUGGCGAAGGCGGUCUACCAGAACACGUCCGACGGUGAGGGAUGAAAGCUGGGGGAGCAAACCGGAUUAGAUACCCGAGUAGUCC
rnacentral:rRNA from 1 species